AAAGCACAACCACGAAAAAUGAAUGAACCUACUUAUCCAUCCGCUGACGGCGAAACAGCCCUUCUGAAACCGCGGUUUAUCGUUGCUGCUCAAGUUGCUUUAUCGGUAGCUUCUCCGCUUGUUCAAUAUUGAUUGUUGAGUUAUCGCAACUGCCCCAUGUCGAUUCGAUACAUCUCAUUGGCGCAACCAUACAUACUGUACGGAACAUUACUCAGGUACCGUACGGACCGCCCGAUACUAACAACUUAAUUCAAAUAAGCUAUGGGGUUUGAACCCAAGAGUUGUUGUCUUCUACAUCCGA
rnacentral:sRNA from 1 species